UGCCAGACACUGUGGGAAGCCUGGGACCUGGAUUGUCUUAUUCAACUCUCACAGCAAAUAAGGGGGAAUUACUGUAGUAGCUCCUCAACAUCAUCUAAUACCUAGCCCACAAUUUUUUUCAACUUUUACUUUAGGUCCAGGGGAUACAUGAGCAGUUCUGGAGCUCGGAAAGUUCAAGAUCAAGUUGCUGGCAUCUGGAUGACUUUUAAAUUGCAUCGCACCUGUUCAAAAGCUGAGAGGAAGCACAGAGACCACAUACUGGAGAUGGAAGAAACUGCAGAAUAAUUGAUAUUGCCACUGGAAUUGGAGACAGCAGAUCUAGUUGCUGGACCUGCCCACUGCCACUAAUGAGUUCUAAGCUAUCUAAAAAUCCAUAAACCUAAGCUCUCUGCUUCAGAUUCCCCAUCUGUUAAAUUGGAAUCAUACAAUCCACUCACCAUAUUUUUCAGGGUAAAAUAAGCUUUCAUGUGAACUGGAAGCUAUCAUUGCAUCAAAGCUUGAGCCAGGGAGAGGAUGAUCUAGCACCGUACUGAAACUGCAGAUACAGCCAGCUCUAGGCAAAGUUGUGAAGGAAGAAAACUUGGUCACCUUCCUGCAUUGAUUCUCCUCUUUUAUGGCAUUCUUCCUUCUAAGCCAGUCAAUAAGAAGAUAGACUCAUUGAAGUUGACUUGUCCUGACUUCAAAGACCGUAAAUCAGAAGAACCAGGAUUUGUCACCUGCCUGACUCAAAACUUACUCUUUUUCUUUACAUCCUAUGACGUCAGUGGGUGCCUGGACUGGCUGGACUGACUGAAUACAAAACCAGGGGAAAAAGAUGCGGUCACUGUCCUCACAGAACUGAAGGUCUAGCCAAGGAGACAAACAACUGAACAAGCAAACUAAGUGUCCAGGCAAAGUAUACCGGGGUGCUUUGCUAGUAAGUACAUUGUAGCAUUAAUUAAGCUAGCAUAAGAAGGCUCAGAGAGAAAAUGACUUUAAAGCCAAGUUCAAAAAGAUGUGUAGGACUUUCCCAGAGAGAGCUACCGGGAGUGGAGAGUAUGAGGUGUUCUAAGAACAGUUAAAGCAAAGACCUGGAGGAAGGAAACAUCCCACUGAAUGAAGUUCCUUGUCUUGUGUAGUGAGACACAAGGAGGGGUUAAGGAAGGAGGCCGAAGAGGAAGACAGACACAAGUAAAGAAGUGCCUGCUAAAAUCUACCAAGAACUCUGAGUUUUAUUCUAACAGUGAUGGGAGAUGAUCGAAAGGCUUUGAGAAGGGGAUUCAGAUUUUCACUGUAGAAGGUCCCUCUGGCUAUAAAUGAACAAUGGACUGAGGAAAGACAAGAUGGGGUGGAUCAACUCAUUCCAGGAAGUUAUUGCACAAAUAUGGACAAAAUGCACAAUUGCAUAGGCUGGCUGCUUUGGCACUGACAAGGAUGAACUCUACUCACUGGGACCUCCUGCACUGGGAUGAGGAGCAUGCAGGAGCUGGGGUGAGUGUUUUUGGGCACUGGCAGGAGUGAACUUUGUACUGGCCCUGUGGCAGCAUCUGGGGGUAGGGGGUGCCCGUGACCUCUGAAGCCCCAGAGGAAGUGUUACAGUAUUCUUUUAGCUCUGCCAUUUGCACGAAUGAAUUGAAGAUGGUAAAUGUGGGAGAUUUUAUUGCCUGUGAAAGUGGCUGUCAGCCGGAAGGGGAACUGAAAAGGGGACAGAGUAGGAAGGUCAUCUUCCCCUGAAGUCCAGCUGUCUCUGGCCAGAUUUCUUUCCGAAGCUGCACCAUCAAGCUGUCCCUCUGAAGUCAAUCCACUUCUCUCCAACAUCCAACUGUCGUCUCCAACAUCAGUUGCUUCUCCUCUUUCUGCCAGCUAAGCCUGAGGUUUUUAUGGACAUAGGAUGUGGGGCAGGGUGGGCAUGGGUGGUUUCGGAAAAGGCAAUAUUUAAGCAGGAAAACAGAGAUGUAAGUCCUCACAUUGGGCCGCAGUUUCAGGCUUGAGGAUGGGGACCUUGCCGGGGACCCACCCUCUUCUGCCUAGAAUUCCCCUGCCUCCUGUCCCUGUCACUUGGAGGUGGAAUGAACUAAAUUCAGUGGAGUGUGGUGAGGGGAGGGGAGUGAGUGAGAAGCAAGGAUCUAGGAUGACUCUCAGGUUCUGGGUGAACCAUUUUCUGAGAAAAUAAACUUGAAGAGAAAAACAGAUUUGGAAAGGAAGAUGAUGGGUUUUCAGCCAAUGGGGCUGUUUGGACAGGAAUAGUAGAGGGUGAUCAUAGGAGAAUAAAACUUCCAGACAGUAAUUUCACAUGAUUAGAUGCUAUGGGCUGAUAAGACCCUGAAAAACAGGUGUGGGUCAAGCUGGCUAAGACUGACUGGUACCAACAUGGUGCUGGAUUUGAUCUAGGUUUCACCUAGAACCUCAUUAUAUGCUCAUUUACGUAAUUACCCACCCACCAGUGCCAUGACAUUUCCAGGAACACCCGUAUUUGGUGUAAAAAUGGGUGGCUCCACAAUUCCAAGAAAUCUCCACCUUUGCCCAGGAAUUUUCACCAAUAUCCCGCCCCUUGUUUAAAGAAAUUCAUACAGGUAGAUACCCUAAACCCCAUUGGGUGACCCUGUCUUGAGUACACCUGCACUCUCCUUGCUCGAGUGUGUACUUUUCCCAUUACAAUAAAUCUCUGUACUUUCACUGUU